rnacentral:rRNA from 1 species
UACAGAGGGGGCAAGCGGUUAUUCGGAAUUAUUGGGCGUAAAGGGCGCGUAGGCGGCUUUGCAAGUGACGGGUGAAAUCCCUCGGCUUAACCGAGGAACUGCCUGUCAAACUGCAUGGCUUGAGACCGGGAGAGGUGAGUGGAAUUCCCAGUGUAGCGGUGAAAUGCGCAGAUAUCAGGAAGAACACCAAUGGCGAAGGCAGCUCUCCGGGACGGUACUGACGCUGAGACGCGAAAGCGUGGGGAGCGAACAGG